rnacentral:rRNA from 1 species
CGCGUAGGUGGCCAAUUAAGUCAAAUGUGAAAUCCCCGAGCUUAACUUGGGAAUUGCAUUCGAUACUGGUUGGCUAGAGUAUGGGAGAGGAUGGUAGAAUUCCAGGUGUAGCGGUGAAAUGCGUAGAGAUCUGGAGGAAUACCGAUGGCGAAGGCAGCCAUCUGGCCUAAUACUGACACUGAGGUGCGAAAGCAUGGGGAGCGUCAGUC